CUUCUGCUUCAGAGACUUUGUAACCAGACCCGGGUUCAGCUGCUUGCUGCUUGAAAGCCACACAUAAGGGGUGAAGUUUGGUGGAAAAGCAGGUUUGAUCAGAGAGCCAGCAAACUAAGAAGAUGAGAGUAUACAGGAUGCAAUGAAAGAUACAUCAACACCGAUUCAGAAGAAAUGAAAACAAAGCAAUUAGUCACAAUAAUAUAACACAAUUCUACAUCAUGGAAAAUUUGGAGCUGGAAACGUGGCAGAGACAUCAGUUCUUCAGCAGCAGAUUGACAAUGAAAAAAGUGUUUAUAUUAUGAAUUUCCCUGUUAUAUAAUGGAAG
rnacentral:lncRNA from 1 species